CCCGGCGUCGACAAGUCGAACGAGUUCUGAUUAUUGAAAGGUGACGUUGCAUCUUGAUUUAAUUUUGUAAGAGUGGCGGACGGGUGAGGUAACACGUGGGUAACCUGCCCUUAAGUGGGGGAGUAACAUUUGGAAACAGAUGCUAAUACCGCAUAAAUCCAAAGAACCGCAUGGUUCUUGGCUGAAAGAUGGCGUAAGCUAUCGCUUUUGGAUGGACCCGCGGCGUAUUAGCUAGUUGGUGAGGUAACGGCUCACCAAGGCAAUGAUACGUAGCCGAACUGAGAGGUUGAUCGGCCACAUUGGGACUGAGACACGGCCCAAACUCCUACGGGAGGCAGCAGUAGGGAAUCUUCCACAAUGGACGCAAGUCUGAUGGAGCAACCCGCGAGGGCGA
rnacentral:rRNA from 1 species